rnacentral:rRNA from 1 species
GAUGAACGCUGGCGGCGUGCCUAAUACAUGCAAGUCGAGCGAACAGACGAGGAGCUUGCUCCUCUGACGUUAGCGGCGGACGGGUGAGUAACACGUGGAUAACCUACCUAUAAGACUGGGAUAACUUCGGGAAACCGGAGCUAAUACCGGAUAAUAUAUUGAACCGCAUGGUUCAAUAGUGAAAGACGGUUUUGCUGUCACUUAUAGAUGGAUCCGCGCCGCAUUAGCUAGUUGGUAAGGUAACGGCUUACCAAGGCAACGAUGCGUAGCCGACCGGAGAGGGGGAUCGGCCACACGGGAACGGAGACACGGUCCAUACACCUACGGGAGGCAGCAGUAGGGAAUCUUCCGCAAUGGGCGAAAGCCUGACGGAGCAACGCCGCGUGAGUGAUGAAGGUCUUCGGAUCGUAAAACUCUGUUAUUAGGGAAGAACAAAUGUGUAAGUAACUAUGCACGUCUUGACGGUACCUAAUCAGAAAGCCACGGCUAACUACGUG